rnacentral:rRNA from 1 species
GCGAGCGGCGGAUGGGUGAGUAACACGUGGGGAACCUGCCCCUAAGUCUGGGAUACCAUUUGGAAACAGGUGCUAAUACCGGAUAAUAAAGCAGAUCGCAUGAUCAGCUUUUGAAAGGCGGCGUAAGCUGUCGCUAAGGGAUGGCCCCGCGGUGCAUUAGCUAGUUGGUAAGGUAACGGCUUACCAAGGCGACGAUGCAUAGCCGAGUUGAGAGACUGAUCGGCCACAUUGGGACUGAGACACGGCCCAAACUCCUACGGGAGGCAGCAGUAGGGAAUCUUCCACAAUGGACGCAGGUCUGAUGGAGCAACGCCGCGUGAGUGAAGAAGGUUUUCGGAUCGUAAAGCUCUGUUGUUGGUGAAGAAGGAUAGAGGUAGUAACUGGCCUUUAUUUGACGGUAAUCAACCAGAAAGUCACGGCUAACUACGUGCCAGCAGCCGCGGUAAUACGUAGGUGGCAAGCGUUGUCCGGAUUUAUUGGGCGUAAAGCGAGCGCAGGCGGAAAAAUAAGUCUAAUGUGAAAGCCCUCGGCUUAACCGGGGAACUGCAUCGGAAACUGUUUUUCUUGAGUGCAGAAGAGGAGAGUGGAACUCCAUGUGUAGCGGUGGAAUGCGUAGAUAUAUGGAAGAACACCAGUGGCGAAGGCGGCUCUCUGGUCUGCAACUGACGCUGAGGCUCGAAAGCAUGGGUAGCGAACAGGAUUAGAUACCCUGGUAGUCCAUGCCGUAAACGAUGAGUGCUAAGUGUUGGGAGGUUUCCGCCUCUCAGUGCUGCAGCUAACGCAUUAAGCACUCCG